GCCGGGGCCGGGACUGCGGUGCUGAGCCCGAGCACGUACUGGGGCGUGGUUUGUAGUGGGUCGGGCGGGGCGUGAGGAAGUUUCUGGAGUGGCUUGUGUUUAGUAUCCUUAUCAUGUGGUACCAGCGGCACCGAGAAAUAGAAGGGGUACCUGGUCCUUGCGCAUCCUUUGUAUUUUCCCCGCUGAGGGUCUGACCACGGCCCUUCUCAGGCACCUGUCUUUCCUCUCGGUGUCGGAACGGAUCCAAGACAAGGGAAUAAAGGGAAUUAAAUGGUGCAAGGAGAUUCGGUGUCUGGGCAGUGUCUUGGAUAAAACCCUCUACUACAGGUCUAUUAAAUCCUUGUAAAACAACUCACCAGCAUCUAGAAGUUUCCUCACACGCAAGUAGCUAAUGGUAAGCCUCAUAACAGAAGCUUUAUCAAGAUGCGAGCUGACAUUAUGGGGAAGAGGCAACUGAUGAGCAAGCUCAUAAAAAACUUCAGACUCUUUACUUCGCCGAGACCUGGCUGCAUCUCGAGACUUUUCUUUUCGGCGUUCAGAACUAAUCCUAUACAACAACAAAAAAAAAGGGAGAAAAAUGUAUAUGUUAGGGACUCUCACAAGAAGUCCAAGAUCAAGCUUUAAACCUGUCUGAAGCAGGUAUUUCUUCCAGGCCAUGCCAAAUUGUAAAGUAUGUUUUAAUUUUAGCCAAAAAAAAAAAAAAACCUUUAAGCUGUAUAUGAAAGCCAUUCAAAAGUAGUCUCAAUGUACAGAAACCAUGAUUAAGUCUAGAGAAACUAUCUAAAGUUGUACGUAACAACUUGAAAACAGUCAGUUGUUAAGCAGAUAAAAUAUUAGCUACAAAUAGAUUUGCCCAGUAUUUUUUUUUUCUUCUUUUCACUCUAGCACCUUCUGACACUCUACCCUACCGUAUGAGCAAUACUAUGAGCUAUAGGCAUUUAUAUUAACAGCUAUGAUAAGCUACCUUUUUCAGGUUGCCUACUCCCUUAGCUCACCACCCAUCUGUUAGUUUGCUUUUUUGCUAUGAUGCUUGAAGCUCUGCUUAGGUUGGAAGUAACUACACAAUGGCCACAAAAAUGGACUAAAACAUGCCAGUGAUCAAGCAACAUUUCCUUAUGUUGUAUACAGGGUCACAAUGCAUCAGAGCCGACCUGAAGGCAAGUAACAACAACAACACUCCCUUAGCAAUCCCUUAUCUCUUACUGGCACAACAGUAUACCAAGUAAACGCAGGAUGUGGCACAAUACUAAGAGUUUAAAGGAACAGGCUGGCAAAGAUUAAUAAAGAUGUCAAUAUAAUAAUAUAUCUUGAGAGGCCUCUGCUAAGAAUAAAUAAAGUGUCAUGGAUUGAAUUGUGUCCCCCCCAAAUUAUGUCAACUUGGCUAGACCAUGAUUCCCAGUGUUGUGUGGUUAUCCUCUGUUUUGUGAUCUAAUGUAAUUAUGUGCUGUAAAUCCUGGCCUCUAUGCCUGUGGUUACAGUCCUAUUUGGGAGUGAGUUGUGUUAUGUUAAUGAGGCAUGAUUAAGUUAUGUUAAUGAGGAUUACUGUGGCACCACCUUGCGUGAGUCACACCUUUUAUCUUACAAGAGAUAAAGGGAAAGAGAAGCAAGCAAGCAGAGAGAGGGACCUCACUGCCACUAAGAAAAAAGGGCCAAAAGUGAAGUGUGUCCUUUGAAUGAGAGGUCCCAGUGCUGAGAACCUCCUAGACCCAGGGGAAGGUUGAUGCCAAGACACAUGGAGAUCUCCAAGGAACGCUGGACCCACAAAUGCUGACGGGAGACAAGGAACUUCCCUGAGAACCAGCAGAGGGAGACAGCCUUCUCCUAGAGAUGGCGCCCUGAAUUCAGACUUCUAGCCACCUAAACUGUGAGAGAAUAAAUUUGUUAAAGCCACCCACUUGCGGUGCUUCUGUUAUAGCAGAACUAAAUAACUAAGAAAGAUUAUCACAACUCAUAACCAAGCAGAGCUGUCCUCUUUAGGUUAACUGCCUAGCAAAAUCUAUUCCACCUAGCCCUGUUGAAGGUAAACAAGGCUAAAGCUGGCAAAUCUGUAGAUUAUUUUCUGUCCUUAGUUUCUGUGUCACGUGGAACUCUCAAUCCCACUUCUGACACCAACUAUGAGGAUAAUAACAUAAAUCAAAUCCCCACUUUCUCACUUAUCUGUUCAGUUCUGACACCAGCCGCCCAUGCAACCCUUCUUCCUCUAACCCUAGCCAACACAGAGCUAGGUCAGAUCUCAUGAGUUAAAGAAUACAGUCCUCCAGGUUCAGACUGCCAAGCAGGCCAAAGACCUCAGACGCCAGCUGCAAGUUUGGGAGUCCACUCAACACCCUCACUUCUGAUCUGCUGGCUCCCGCUACUCUCUUGGGUUCAAUAAUUUGCUAAAAAAAAAACUUAAACAACUCAUGGAAAGUACUAUACUUACAAUUAAAACUUUACUAAAAUCUAUACAAAGCAGGAUCAGCAUAAGGAAAAGGGUGCGUCACCCUCCUGAGGGUGGAUGUCUUUGCCAACCAGGAAGCUAAUGGUGAUUUGAUGUCCUGAGCUUUUACUGGGAGUUCUUCAUUACAUAAUGCAAACUCCAGUCCCUUUCCCUUGAGGUUAGUCGGUAUCAUGAGGUGAUCUCGAGGCAUCCUAAGAUGGGGCUCUCUGGCCUGUCCACCAUGAGGUUAAUAAUCAGGAGUUAAGUCCCUCUGGCCUGGCUAGUUUCUACCUCAGACUCCACUAUAACCUGUCAGGUCUGGAGUCCUUAUCGAAAUUCCAAGGUUCUAGGAAUUAUCUUUCAGGAGCCAAGGACACAGACCAAAUUACUUUGGGCAAAGUUAAAUUCUAAAACCUCACAAAACCUCACAGCUUCUUUAAUAAUUGUUGUUUAUUAAAACCUACUAUAUGCCAAACGCUAUAUUGUAUAAGGUACCAAGUUCUCUCAUAACAACUUCUGGAUUAAAUGUUAUACCUAUUUUAUAGACAAGGAAACUGGAAUUCAGAAGAUUAAUUAACAUGUUGGUAGUCACACAGCUAGUUAGUUAUGCAGUGGAUGGAAUUUGAACCCAGGUCUUUUUUACAUCAAAAUCUUUGCUCUUCCACAGUGCUUUAUCUUCUUAAUGAAAAUGCUAAGACAUUGCUGCAAGAAACCAAAAGAGACCUACAUAAGUGGAAAAACGUACCUUGCUCACGGAUAGGAACUUAAUAUUGUAAAAAUGUCUAAUCUACCAAAAGCAAUCUGUAGAUUUAAUGCAAUUCCAAUCCAAAUGCCAAUGACAUUUUUUAAUGAGAUGGAGAAACAAAUCACCAACUUCAUAUGGAAGGGAAAGAGGCCCCAGAUAAGUAAAGCAUUACUGCAAAAGAACAACAAAGUGGGACGCCUCACUCUACCUGAUUUUAGAACCUAUUAUACCCCUACAGUAGUCAAAAUGGCCUGGUACCGGUACGACAGAUACAUAGACCAAUGGAACAAAAUUGAGAAUCCAGACAUAAAUCCAUCCACAUAUGAGCAGCUGAUAUUUGACAAAAGCCCAAAGUCAGUUAAAAGGGGAAAAGACAGUUUUGUUAACAAAUGGUGCUGGCAUAACCGGAUAUCCACUUGCAAAAAACUGAAACAAGACCCAUACCUCACACCAUGUACAAAAACUAAUUCAAAAUGGAUCAAAGACCUAAAAAUAAAAUCUAAAACAAUAAAGAUCAUGGAAGAAAAAAUAGGGACAAUGCUAGGAGCCCUAAUACAUGGCAUAAACAGUCUACAAAACAUUACUAACAAUGCAAAAGAGAAACCAGGUAACUGGGAGCUCCUAAAAAUCAAACACCUAUGCUCAUUCAAAGACUUCACCAAUAGUGUAAAAAGAUUACCUACAGAAUGGGAAAAAGUUUUUAGCUAUGAUAUUUCUGAUCAGCAUCUGAUCUCUAAACUCUACAUGAUACGACAAAAACUCAACUACAAAAAGAUAAAUAACCCAGUUAAAAAACGGGCAAAGGAUAUGAACAGACACUUCACUAAAGAAGACAUUUGGGUGGCUAACAGAUACAUGAGGAAAUGUUCAUGACCAUUACUCAUUAGAGAAAUGCAAAUCGAAACUAUAAUGAGAUUCCAUCUCACUCCAACAAGGCUGGUAUUAAUCCAAAAAACACAAAAAAAUAAAUGUUGGAGAGGCUGUGCAGAGACUGAAACACUUAUACACUGCUGUUGGGAAUGUAAAAUGGUACAACCAGUUUGGAAAUCGAUUUGGCACUUCCUUAAAAAGCUAGAAACAGAACUACCACACGAUCCAGCAAUCCCACUCCUUGGAAUAUAUCCUAGAGAAAUAAGAGCCUUUACAUGAACAGAUAUAUGCAUACCCAUGUUCACUGCAGCACUGUUUACAAUAGCAAAAAGAUGGAAGCAACCAAGGUGCCCGUCAACAAAUGAAUGGAUAAAUUAUGGUAUAUUCACACAAUGGAAUAUCACGCAUCAAUAAAGAACAAUGAUGAAUCCGUGAAACAUUUCAUAACAUGGAAGAAUCUGGAAGCCAUUAUGCUAAGUGAAAUUAGUCAGCUGCAAAAGGACAAAUAAUGUAUAAGACCACUAUUAUAGGAGCUCGAGAAAUAGUUUAAACAGAGAAGAGGAUAUUCUUUGAUGGUUACAAGAGGGGGGAGGGAGGAAGGGAGGGAGAGAGGUUUUCACUAAUUAGAUAGUAGAUUAGAACUAUUUUAGGUGAAGGGAAAGACAACACACAAUACAGGAGAGGUCAGCACAGUUGGACUAAACCAAAAGCAAAGAAGUUUCCUGAAUAAACUGAACGUUUCAAAGGCCAGCAUAGCAGGUUGGGGGUUUGGGGACCAUGCUUUCAGGGGACAUCUAAGUCAACUGGCAUAAUAAACUCUAUUAAGAAAACAUUCUACAUCCCACUUUGGCGAGUGGCAUAUGGGGUCUUAAACACUAGAAAGCAGCCAUCUAAGAUGCAUCAAUUGGUCUCAACCCACCUGGAUCAAAGGAGAAUGAAGAAUGCCAAAGACAGGCUAAUUACAAGCCCAAGAGACAGAGAGGGCCACAUAACCAGAGACUGUAUCAACCUGAGACCAGAAGAACUCGAUGGUACCCAGCUAUAACCGAUGACUGUCCUGACAGGGAACACAACAGAGAACCCCUGAGGGAGCAGGGGAGCAGUGGGAUGCAGACCCCAAAUUCUCAUAAAAAGACCAGACUUAAUGGUCUGACUGAGACUAGAAUGACCCCAGAGGUCAUGGCCCCCACACCUUCUCUUAGCCCAAGACAGGAACCAUUCCUAAAGCUAACUCUUCAGACAGGGAUUGGACUGGACUAUGAGAUAGACAAGGAUACUUAUGAAGAAUGAGCUUCUUGGAUCAAGUAGACACAUGAGACUAUGUUGGCCAUCUCUUGUCUGAAGGGUAGAUGAGAGGGGAGAGAGGGUCAGAGGCUGGCUGAACAGACAUGAAAAGAGAGUGGAGGGAGGGAGUGUGCUGUCUCAUUAGGGGGAGAGCAAUUAGGAGUACAAAGCAAGGUGUUUAUAAAUUUUUGUAUGAGAGUGACUUGAUUUGUAAACUUUCACUUAAAGCACAAUAAAAAAUAAAAAAUGAAAAAAAAAAAAAAACAGAA